CGUGAACGCUGGCGGUAGGCCUAACACAUGCAAGUCGAACGGCAGCACAGUAAGAGCUUGCUCUUACGGGUGGCGAGUGGCGGACGGGUGAGGAAUACAUCGGAAUCUACUUUUUCGUGGGGGGUAACGUAGGGAAACUUACGCUAAUACCGCAUACGACCUACGGGUGAAAGCAGGGGAUCUUCGGACCUUGCGCGAUUGAAUGAGCCGAUGUCGGAUUAGCUAGUUGGCGGGGUAAAGGCCCACCAAGCCGACGAUCCGUAGCUGGUCUGAGAGGAUGAUCAGCCACACUGGAACUGAGACACGGUCCAGACUCCUACGGGAGGCAGCAGUGGGGAAUAUUGGACAAUGGGCGCAAGCCUGAUCCAGCCAUACCGCGUGGGUGAAGAAGGCCUUCGGGUUGUAAAGCCCUUUUGUUGGGAAAGAAAAGCAGCAGGUUAAUACCCCGCUGUUCUGACGGUACCCUAAGAAUAAGCACCGGCUAACUUCGUG
rnacentral:rRNA from 1 species